rnacentral:rRNA from 1 species
UACGAAGGGAGCUAGCGUUGUUCGGAAUUACUGGGCGUAAAGGGCGUGUAGGCGGUUUGAUAAGUUGGAAGUGAAAUCCCAGAGCUUAACUCUGGAAUGGCUUUCAAAACUGCUAAACUAGAUAAUGGUAGGGGAUGGCGGAAUUCCUAGUGUAGAGGUGAAAUUCGUAGAUAUUAGGAGGAACACCGGUGGCGAAGGCGGCCAUCUGGACCAUUUAUGACGCUAAGACGCGAAAGCGUGGGGAGCAAACAGG